rnacentral:rRNA from 1 species
AUGAACGCUGGCGGCGUGCCUAAUACAUGCCAGUCGAGCGAACAGACGAGGAGCUUGCUCCUUUGACGUUAGCGGCGGACGGGUGAGUAACACGUAGGUAACCUACCUAUAAGACUGGGAUAACUUCGGGAAACCGGAGCUAAUACCGGAUAAUAUUUCGAACCGCAUGGUUCGAUAGUGAAAGAUGGCUUUGCUAUCACUUAUAGAUGGACCUGCGCCGUAUUAGCUAGUUGGUAAGGUAACGGCUUACCAAGGCAACGAUACGUAGCCGACCUGAGAGGGUGAUCGGCCACACUGGAACUGAGACACGGUCCAGACUCCUACGGGAGGCAGCAGUAGGGAAUCUUCCGCAAUGGGCGAAAGCCUGACGGAGCAACGCCGCGUGAGUGAUGAAGGUCUUCGGAUCGUAAAACUCUGUUAUUAGGGAAGAACAAACGUGUAAGUAACUGUGCACGUCUUGACGGUACCUAAUCAGAAAGCCACGGCUAACUACGUG